rnacentral:rRNA from 1 species
AUUGAACGCUGGCGGCAGGCUUAACACAUGCAAGUCGAGCGGAGAUGAGGUGCUUGCACCUUAUCUUAGCGGCGGACGGGUGAGUAAUGCUUAGGAAUCUGCCAUUUAGUGGGGGACAACAUUCCGAAAGGAUGCUAAUACCGCAUACGUCCUACGGGAGAAAGCAGGGGAUCUUCGGAACUUGCGCUAAAUGAUGAGCCUAAGUCGGAUUAGCUAGUUGGUGGGGUAAAGGCCUACCAAGGCGACGAUCUGUAGCGGGUCUGAGAGGAUGAUCCGCCACACUGGGACUGGGACACGGCCCAGACUCCUACGGGAGGCAGCAGUGGGGAAUAUUGGACAAUGGGCGGAAGCCUGAUCCAGCCAUGCCGCGUGUGUGAAGAAGGCCUUUUGGUUGUAAAGCACUUUAAGCGAGGAGGAGGCUACUAGUACUAAUACUACUGGAUAGUGGACGUUACUCGCAGAAUAAGCACCGGCUAACUCUGUGCCAGCAGCCGCCGUAACAC